rnacentral:rRNA from 1 species
UCUGAUACCGCAUAAGCGCACGAGGAGACAUCUCCUUGUGUGAAAAACUCCGGUGGUACAGGAUGGGCCCGCGUCUGAUUAGCUGGUUGGCAGGGUAACGGCCUACCAAGGCAGCGAUCAGUAGCCGGUCUGAGAGGAUGAACGGCCACAUUGGAACUGAGACACGGUCCAAACUCCUACGGGAGGCAGCAGUGGGGAAUAUUGCACAAUGGGGGAAAACCCUGAUGCAGCAACGCCGCGUGAGUGAAGAAGUAUUUCGGUAUGUAAAGCUCUAUCAGCAGGGAAGAUAAUGACGGUACCUGACUAAGAAGCUCCGGCUAAAUACGUGCCAGCAGCCGCGGUAAUACGUAUGGAGCAAGCGUUAUCCGGAUUUACUGGGUGUAAAGGGUGCGUAGGUGGCAGUGCAAGUCAGAUGUGAAAGGCCGGGGCUCAACCCCGGAGCUGCAUUUGAAACUGCAUAGCUAGAGUACAGGAGAGGCAGGCGGAAUUCCUAGUGUAGCGGUGAAAUGCGUAGAUAUUAGGAGGAACACCAGUGGCGAAGGCGGCCUGCUGGACUGUUACUGACACUGAGGCACGAAAGCGUGGGGAGGAACAGGAUUAGAUACCCUGGUAGUCCACGCCGUAAACGAUGAAUACUAGGUGUCGGGGCCGUAUAGGCUUCG